UCCCUUUCAUUCCUGGCAGGCAGCAGUGGGGGGUGUCAUCUGCCUGGACAAAUUUUUGCUUGGUCAGGCUAAGAUGGCCAUCUUCAAGAGCUGCAGGAACUGGCUAGCUGGGGCCAGCUCUAAUGAUACCCUAAGACUUUCAAUUCUUGGUUUGGGUAUGCCUGACAUUGGAAUUUGAACAUGCGGUCCUCCAGUGGGCAGUACCCACCAUCCAGGCACUUUGGACUAUUCAGGGGUUGGU